AUUUUGCAGUCUGCAAGACUGAUUGGCAAACGUCAAUAUAGAAAAAUGUUUUAUUUUCAAGUUUUUGUAUUAUUUUCGUUGGUAUUUUCCGUGCAUCCAGACCGAAUGGAUAUGGACCUGCCUUGUCCAGUUGACACAUUCUCUCAGGACUAUAGUUCACAGAUCUAUGGCUCCCCCCUGGUCAUUCCUCCGCUAACUAUCACUGUCAAUUACGAUAAACCUGAAGCCAAUGAACAAAAGUCAGGUACAAAUGAAAGAACAGUAGAAGUGAUUAGAAAAUCAAAUUUAUUACACAAUAUAUUUCAUCUACCCUCUGUUAUAGCAGAUUCGUUGGUACAAUAAGUGAAACAGUAAUCUAAUAAAAUGUUUUAUUUGUAAUAAGUCA